AUCCAGCUGACUAGUCCCGAACAGAACGAAAUGUUCAUCCCGGAU
rnacentral:hammerhead_ribozyme from 1 species